rnacentral:rRNA from 1 species
GAUGAACGCUGGCGGCGUGCCUAAUACAUGCAAGUCGAGCGAACGGACGAGAAGCUUGCUUCUCUGAUGUUAGCGGCGGAUGGGUGAGUAACACGUGGAUAACCUACCUAUAAGACUGGGAUAACUUCGGGAAACCGGAGCUAAUACCGGAUGAUAUUUUGAACCGCAUGGUUCAAAAGUGAAAGACGGUCUUGCUGUCACUUAUAGAUGGAUCCGCGCUGCAUUAGCUAGUUGGUAAGGUAACGGCUUACCAAGGCAACGAUGCAUAGCCGACCUGAGAGGGUGAUCGGCCACACUGGAACUGGGACACGGUCCAGACUCCUACGGGAGGCAGCAGUAGGGAAUCUUCCGCAAUGGGCGAAAGCCUGACGGAGCAACGCCGCGUGAGUGAUGAAGGUCUUCGGAUCGUAAAACUCUGUUAUUAGGGAAGAACAUAUGUGUAAGUAACUGUGCACAUCUUGACGGUACCUAAUCAGAAAGCCACGGCUAACUACGUG